UGUCUGAAAAUAUUCCAUAGCUAUUACUACUAUUAGGAAGGUAAUCAAAAUGAGCGAUACCCCUCAAGUCAAAAAAAGAGGUGACCAUCUAGAUGAGAUUGGUACUCACAUGUGGUAUGAUAAUUGGAUCUGAAGACAAUUUCAGAAGAGGAAUUAGGCUACCAAAAAUCAGACACCGCCAGGCAAAAAUCCAACAUCACUGGCAUUUUAGGAAGGAAUUUAACUUAUUCACAUUCAAGAAAACCGGACCCAACCACAUGAGAGAUGCCGCCUGCUGGCACAGACUUCAGAGGAGGGAAACUGAGGACUAAACCACCGUUCUUAGUUCUGAAGUUCUUCCUGAGGGGCCUAGAGGAGGUCACACCCAGGAGCCAGACCUAACCCAUCUUCCUAGUGACCCCAAAUUUUUAAACAAAGCUUUUCUUCCUUAACCAAUCGCAAAUCAGAAAAUCUUUAAAGCCUGUGAGCUCCCAAUCUGAGGUAUCCUUGCUUUUUAGGUCAAACCAAUGUAUAUCCUCCAUAUAUUGACUUACAACUUUGCCUUCAAUCUCUGCCUCCCUGUCCUUAAAAACUAUUCGUGUCUAGAUGUGGUGCUUAUGCCUGUAAUCCCAGCACUUUGGGAGGCCAAGGAGGGCAGAUGAUGAGGUCAGGAGUUUGAGACCAGCCUGGACAACAUGGUGAAAACCUUAUCUCUACUAAAAAUACAAAAAUUAGCUGGGCAUGGUGGGGGGAGCCUGUAAUCCCAGCUAUUCAGGAGGCGGAGGCAGGAGAAUCACUGAACCUGGAAGGCAGAGGUUGCGGUGAGCCGAGAUCACGCCAUUGUACUCCAGCCUGGGCAACAAGAGCAAACUCUGUCUAAAAACAAAACAAAACCCUUAUUCAUAAGCCAUCUGGGAGUUGGGGUCUUAAGCAUGAGCUGCCUGAUUCUCCUUGCUUGAUGCUCUGCAAUAAAUGUCUCAUGUUCUCUCCCUGCAAAUCCCAAUGUCAGUGUUUGGCUUUGCUGCUCCAGGUGGACAGACAAGUUCAGUUCAGUAACAGUGGUGAUGGAAAUGUCCAGCAGAAUCAAGGCUCAGAAAAGAGAGCAUAACUGGAGAAUGAUUAGAGGGUACUGAACCAUACACAACUUUGAAUUUUGGGUUCAAUCCAGUACCUAACAUGUGGUGAGUGUCCAAUAUAUAUUGU